CGAGCGCGCACGCGCACCGCGCGCCCCGCCUCCACCGCGCGCGGCGCGCUGCAGCACUGGGAGAAGGCGUGUACACUGGCUCAGAAGUAUUCUCUGGACGUGUCGCCGGUGGAGGAGUCGUUGAUGGAGAUGUUACACCCGGAAGGAAAUAUCGAUACACAAUGGGUGGAGAGCGUGGCGGCGCUGGCGCGGGAGACGGCCGACUCGCUGGCGGAGGCGGCGGGCGGGC